rnacentral:rRNA from 1 species
GACGAACGCUGGCGGCGUGCUUAACACAUGCAAGUCGAGCGGAGCGGCGAACGGGUGAGUAACGCGUGAGUAACUGCCCCCUUCUCUGGGAUAACAGUUGGAAACGGCUGCUAAUACCGGAUAGUGGGGGAUGACUCGCGUCCUAUCAGCUUGUUGGUGGGGUAGUGGCCUACCAAGGCGACGCCGGGGAGCCGGCCUGAGAGGGCGACCGGCGCCAAUGGGCUGAGAGACGGCCCAAACUGCUACGGGGGGCAGCAGUGGGGAAUAUUGCACAGUGGGGGAAACCCAGAGGCAUCAACGCGGGUGCGGGAUGACGGCCUUCGGGUUGUAAACCGCUUUCAGCCAUGACGCGGUAGUUGCAGAAGAAGCACCGGCUAACUACGUGCCAGCAGCCGCGGUAAUUC